rnacentral:rRNA from 1 species
UUCGGUCAGCGGCGGACGGGUGAGUAACACGUGGGCAACCUGCCCGCAAGACCGGGAUAACUCCGGGAAACCGGAGCUAAUACCGGAUAACACCGAAGACCGCAUGGUCUUYGGUUGAAAGGCGGCCUUUGGGCUGUCACUUGCGGAUGGGCCCGCGGCGCAUUAGCUAGUUGGUGAGGUAACGGCUCACCAAGGCGACGAUGCGUAGCCGGCCUGAGAGGGUGACCGGCCACACUGGGACUGAGACACGGCCCAGACUCCUACGGGAGGCAGCAGUAGGGAAUCUUCCGCAAUGGGCGAAAGCCUGACGGAGCGACGCCGCGUGAGCGAAGAAGGCCUUCGGGUCGUAAAGCUCUGUUGUGAGGGACGAAGGAGCGCCGUUCGAAGAGGGCGGCGCGGUGACGGUACCUCACGAGAAAGCCCCGGCUAACUACGUGCCAGCAGCCGCGGUAAUACGUAGGGGGCGAGCGUUGUCCGGAAUUAUUGGGCGUAAAGCGCGCGCAGGCGGUCUCUUAAGUCUGAUGUGAAAGCCCACGGCUCAACCGUGGAGGGUCAUUGGAAACUGGGGGACUUGAGGGCAGGAGAGGAGAGCGGAAUUCCACGUGUAGCGGUGAAAUGCGUAGAGAUGUGGAGGAACACCAGUGGCGAAGGCGGCUCUCUGGCCUGCACCUGACGCUGAGGCGCGAAAGCGU